UACGGGGGGGGCAAGCGUUGUUCGGAAUUACUGGGCGUAAAGGGCUCGUAGGCGGCCAACUAAGUCAGACGUGAAAUCCCUCGGCUUAACCGGGGAACUGCGUCUGAUACUGGAUGGCUGGAGUUUGGGAGAGGGAUGCGGAAUUCCAGGUGUAGCGGUGAAAUGCGUAGAUAUCUGGAGGAACACCGGUGGCGAAGGCGGCAUCCUGGACCAAUACUGACGCUGAGGCGCGAAAGCCAGGGGAGCGAACGGG
rnacentral:rRNA from 1 species